rnacentral:rRNA from 1 species
AAGUCUGAACCAAGCCAAGUAGCGUGCAGGAUGACGGCCCUAUGGGUUGUAAACUGCUUUUUUAGGGGAAUAAAGUUAGCCACGUGUGGUUAUUUGCAUGUACCCUACGAAUAAGGACCGGCUAAUUCCGUGCCAGCAGCCGCGGUAAUACGGAAGGUCCGGGCGUUAUCCGGAUUUAUUGGGUUUAAAGGGAGCGCAGGCCGUUUGGUAAGCGUGUUGUGAAAUGUCCGGGCUCAACCUGGGCACUGCAGCGCGAACUGUCAGACUUGAGUGCACAGGAAGCGGGCGGAAUUCGUGGUGUAGCGGUGAAAUGCUUAGAUAUCACGAAGAACUCCAAUUGCGAAGGCAGCUCGCUGUAGUGUUACUGACGCUAAAGCUCGAAAGUGCGGGUAUCGAACAGGAUUAGAUACCCUGGUAGUCCGCACGGUAAACGAUGGAUGCCCGCUGUUUGCCCUUCGGGGUGAGUGGCUAAGCGAAAGCGUUAAGCAUCCCACCUGGGGAGUACGCCGGCAACGGUGAWRCUCAAAGGAAUUGACGGGGGCCCGCACAAGCGGAGGAACAUGUGGUUUAAUUCGAUGAUACGCGAGGAACCUUACCCGGGCUUGAAUUGCAGAUGACGGAUCUAGAGAUAGUGACUUCCUUCGGGACAUCUGUGAAGGUGCUGCAUGGUUGUCGUCAGCUCGUGCCGUGAGGUGUCGGCUUAAGUGCCAUAACGAGCGCAACCCUUCUCUUCAGUUGCCAUCAGGUUAAGCUGGGCACUCUGGAGACACUGCCACCGUAAGGUGUGAGGAAGGUGGGGAUGACGUCAAAUCAGCACGGCCCUUACGUCCGGGGCUACACACGUGUUACAAUGGCCGGUACAGAAAGUCGGAUGCCCGUAAGGUCAUUCUAAUCAAGAAAGCCGGUCCCAGUUCGGACUG